rnacentral:rRNA from 1 species
UGCGCUUGCCAGCCCGCUCAGAAACUUAAAGGAAUUGACGGGGGCCCGCACAAGCGGUGGAGCAUGUGGUUUAAUUCGACGCUACGCGAAGAACCUUACCUGGGCUUGAACUGCUGGUGGUAGAAGCCCGAAAGGGUAACGACCCGGAGCAAUCCGGGAGCCAGUAGAGGUGCUGCAUGGCUGUCGUCAGCUCGUGUCGUGAGAUGUUGGGUUAAGUCCCGCAACGAGCGCAACCCUUACCCUUAGUUGCCAGCGGGUAAUGCCGGGCACUCUAAGGGGACCGCCCCGGAUAACGGGGAGGAAGGCGGGGAUGACGUCAAGUCAGCAUGGCCUUUAUGUCCAGGGCUACACACGUGCUACAAUGGGCGAUACAGAGGGAAGCAAGGCCGCAAGGUAGAGCUAAUCCCUAAAGUCGUCCUCAGUUCGGAUUGCAGGCUGCAACUCGCCUGCAUGAAGUCGGAAUCGCUAGUAAUCGCGGAUCAGCUACGCCGCGGUGAAUACGUUCUCGGGCCUU